rnacentral:rRNA from 1 species
CACGUAGGGGGCAAGCGUUGUCCGGAUUUAUUGGACGUAAAGAGCUCGUAGGCGGUUCGGUAAGUCGGGUGUGAAACCUCCAGGCUCAACCUGGAGUCGCCACUCGAUACUGCUGUGACUAGAGUCCGGUAGGGGAGCGUGGAAUUCCUGGUGUAGCGGUGAAAUGCGCAGAUAUCAGGAGGAACACCAGCGGCGAAGGCGGCGCUCUGGGCCGGAACUGACGCUGAGGAGCGAAAGCGUGGGGAGCAAACAGG